CCUCUCCGGACAUUCCGUCUGACGCAUCGGCAAGUAAAAGGAGUGCUGAACAACUGAACUAUACAGCACUGACCUUAGAGGUGGGUUUCGUGCUCGUAUGUUGUCCUUAGCAGCGUCCUUUCUCAACUCUCAGCUGACGUCCUAAUUAAGGAUCUUCGACAAGUGCGGUGGAACGAGUGGCGGUUACAUUAGCGUAGUGGCGGUCAGAUGAGACUACCAGUUAUGAUAAUGAUCACUUGGCUUAUUCACGGAACAAUGUAUUUCGCCCGAGGUUGGUAAAUCUUUCAACCGAUUAAGUUAGAAGAGACCGAGGGACCUUUUUCGCCGACCACGCCCUG